rnacentral:lncRNA from 1 species
UGAUAUAUAUUUGACAAGUGGAGAAGUGCAAUGAAUUAAAAUACCCUAUGUAGGUUCUUUGAUAUUUACUCACCACUGGCUAAUGGACACACUACUUUUCUUAAUAGUUGUUUUAUUUGGAUCUGUCUAGUUUAACAGUUCCCCUUUUUACUGUAAUUUUAACUAUAUCGUCAAUGCAAAAUAAGGAACACCAGAUACAACAUUACGAGCCGUAGCCAGCAUUAUUAGUUUUUUACAUCUCAGGUUUUUU